rnacentral:rRNA from 1 species
GACGAACGCUGGCGGCGUGCCUAAUACAUGCAAGUUGAGCGCUGAAGGUUGGUACUUGUACCAACUGGAUGAGCAGCGAACGGGUGAGUACCGCGUGGGGAAUCUGCCUUUGAGCGGGGGACAACAUUUGGAAACGAAUGCUAAUACCGCAUAAAAACUUUAAACACAAGUUUUAAGUUUGAAAGAUGCAAUUGCAUCACUCAAAGAUGAUCCCGCGUUGUAUUAGCUAGUUGGUGAGGUAAAGGCUCACCAAGGCGAUGAUACAUAGCCGACCUGAGAGGGUGAUCGGCCACAUUGGGACUGAGACACGGCCCAAACUCCUACGGGAGGCAGCAGUAGGGAAUCUUCGGCAAUGGACGAAAGUCUGACCGAGCAACGCCGCGUGAGUGAAGAAGGUUUUCGGAUCGUAAAACUCGGUUGGUAGAGAAGAACGUUGGUGAGAGUGGAAAGCUCAUCAAGUGACGGUAACUACCCAGAAAGGGACGGCUAACUACGUG